GCCACCGCCAACCCGUCGCGCACUACGCCGUACUCAAAGCCAACGUCGACCGCCUCCACCUGAUUCAGAUCGGCCUUACCCUUUCCGACAACGCCGGAAACCUUCCCACCCUCGGCACCUCCAACGCCUUCAUCUGGGAAUUCAACUUCAAAGAUUUCGACGUCGCGCGUGACGCCCACGCUCACGACUCUGUGGAGUUGCUGCGCCGC
rnacentral:misc_RNA from 1 species